rnacentral:tRNA from 1 species
UAAACUUUGAUCGAAUUUAUAGUAGAAUAAGAAUAUAGACCUAAUUUAAUAGUUAAACUUAAA